rnacentral:lncRNA from 1 species
UACUGGAUUUUCUUGAGAAGAAAAUCAAAAGAGACUGAGGUUGCUAGAUUUCUUAAAGAAAAAAAUCAAGAAAGGAUCAAAAAAGAUUCUCGAUCCAUUCACAUGCGAAGCGUGAUCUGUGAAGAGGGAAGGCUGAAAUCUUUGAGAAAGAUUUUCAGUAAGGAGAAAAAAUAAAUCCAUCAUCAAAGAGGAUCUCUGCAAUAAAGCUAGCACCUCAAUGAGAUUAGAUACUCUGAUUAGAUGACGACUUCAUAUGGAUAUCUAUAA